CAUAGUGAGAGUGCAAGCAAUCCCUGCUUCUAUCAAGUAAUUGCUGGGUAGUGAGGUUGGAAUAUGAAUUGAGCAAUUACAGUGAGGGUUCAGGAAGUACGGGCUGAUAUGGGCGAGCAUGGCAGGCAAACUUAGCCUCAUAAGGGUAGAGGUGAUGGAGAGAAGUGACCUGUAGGCUGAUACCCAAUGAGUAGGAGCUAAGCAGUUGGGAUAGGAAGGAGAAAAUGAAGCUGAUACAAAGAACAGCCUGGAUCGAGGUCUAGAAGCAAGAAAGAGCAUGCUGUGGCAGAGGAAGAGAAGCAGUAAAUUGUAAGCAAAUCGACCUUGAAGCUCUAUUUUGCAGUAGUCGUACUGGCCUUUGUCAUCAGACCUCUAGAUCUACACCCCCUGUGCAGUCGUCCUUGUCUCACCUUUUGGGCACUUUUUCAAUACUUCCUCCUCCAUUUCUACUUCCUCAUCACGCUGGGAGGAGGGGAAGCCAGGCGAGCUGAGGUCACUGGGCUCAGAAGCUGUCAGAAGAAGCAGCCACAGUGCCUGCAUUUCAUGACAGUACCUCAUACAAGCAUUGCUUCCCAGUGUUCAAGCCUUUCUUGUGCGUGUGUGUUUCACGUGAAUAACUCUGCAUGGCUGAGAAGGCAUUUUUCAAAUCAAGACAUUUAUGGUCAGGUUAAGCAAUCGGGAUAAUAGAGACUCUCCAGUGAGGGUUGCAACAAAAACUAGGGCAUAAAGCACCAAACUUUUAGUUGAAUGCAAACUGUUCACAUCUAAAGUGGAACAGAUCACUGCAGGCUUCCUCAGCUCCAAUAUGCUAAUGAUGCAUUGGGCAUUCCCAGGGGGGUGCAGAGUAUGCGGUGAUUCCGGAACUUACUCCACUGAGAACCUGUUGGAGCCGAGGCAGCCUCCUUGGCUGACUCGUGUUCUGUAAUACAGUUGGAAAAAUACCA